rnacentral:rRNA from 1 species
UACGAAGGGGGCUAGCGUUGCUCGGAAUCACUGGGCGUAAAGGGUGCGUAGGCGGGUCUUAAGUCAGGGGUGAAAUCCUGGAGCUCAGCUCCAGAACUGCCUUUGAUACUGAGGAUCUUGAGUUCGGGAGAGGUGAGUGGAACUGCGAGUGUAGAGGUGAAAUUCGUAGAUAUUCGCAAGAACACCAGUGGCGAAGGCGGGUCUCUGGGCCCGAUACUGACGCUGAGGAGACGAAGCGGUGGGAGCAAACAGGG